rnacentral:rRNA from 1 species
AGAUCGUACCUACUACAUGGAUAACUGUAGUAAUUCUAGAGCUAAUACAUGCCACUAUGCCCUGACCCGCGAGGGGACGGGUGGAUUUAUUAGAACAGAACCAACCGGUUGUGGCUUCGGCUGCUUCCGUUGCACUCUGUGAUGACUCUGGAUAACUUCACUGAUCGCAGUCGGCCUUGUGUCGGCGACGGAUCUUUCAAAUGUCUGCCCUAUCAAUUUUCGAUGGUAGGUGACCUGCCUACCAUGGUGAUAACGGGUAACGGGGAAUCAGGGUUCGAUUCCGGAGAGGGAGCCUGAGAAAUGGCUACCAANAG